rnacentral:rRNA from 1 species
UACGUAGGGGGCGAGCGUUGUCCGGAUUUAUUGGGCGUAAAGAGCGUGUAGGCGGCCAGGUAGGUCCGUUGUGAAAACUCGAGGCUUAACCUCGAGACGUCGGCGGAAACCCUCUGGCUAGAGUCCGGAAGAGGAGAGUGGAAUUCCUGGUGUAGCGGUGAAAUGCGCAGAUAUCUGGAGGAACACCGGUGGCGAAGGCGGCAUCCUGGACCGGCAUUGACGCUGAGGCGCGAAAGCCAGGGGAGCAAACGGG